UGUUCACACUCUUCACUCCCAUUCCGAUUAUCCUGCUUCUCCGUUUUACGAGGACGGCAGCAUUGACAGUCUCUUGAGGAUGGAUGUGGUCUCGGCUUAGAAGACCUGCAAACAGCAACGCUGGCAAGGUUUCAAGGAUGAAUAGCAUCUCCUUCAGCUGUAAACAUACAUCAUUUUAGGUACAACCUUUUGCAGUUCCUUCAAUGUAUAAAACAACUAUACUGGUGUGUACAGAAUAAAACUAUUUAGCCCUUGUGUUAA